AUGAUCUUACUUGAAAAGGAUCUGUUCUAUAGGCUCAUACCACUGUAUCAUUCCUUUCUAAGGAGACAGAAAACCAAGUCUGUUGGAUGAAUCAAUGACCCAUUAGACCAGAGCGUGAUUCAUAGUACUCAUGGCCUCUUAGGUCAUGGCAUCAUAGAUGAUCGUUCUCAGCUCCGAUCAUAGGACUUGGGAUGGUCUAAUGUCAGACU
rnacentral:snoRNA from 2 species